AUGCUUAGUAUAGUGCAAGUAGGACCAAAGGAACAUGGUAACAUCCAUGAUGAUCUAUGUGGGAGGACUCGAGACGAAAAGAUCCUGGAUAUGAACCAAAACAUGUUCUAUGCAAAGGGUGUGCCAACCAAUAGAAUGGAUGAAAUUGGGGAGCUACCUGCAUCGAUAUUAUUCUUGCCAUCAUCCUUCCACCUCUUGGUGUCUUCCUCAAAUUUGGCUGCAACGUUGAGUUCUGGAUCUGUUUGA